rnacentral:rRNA from 1 species
GACGAACGCUGGCGGCGUGCCUAAUACAUGCAAGUAGAACGCUGAAGGAGGAGCUUGCUUCUCUGGAUGAGUUGCGAACGGGUGAGUAACGCGUAGGUAACCUGCCUGGUAGCGGGGGAUAACUAUUGGAAACGAUAGCUAAUACCGCAUAAUAGCAGUUGUUGCAUGACAACUGUUUGAAAGGUGCAAUUGCACCACUACCAGAUGGACCUGCGUUGUAUUAGCUAGUUGGUGGGGUAACGGCUCACCAAGGCGACGAUACAUAGCCGACCUGAGAGGGUGAUCGGCCACACUGGGACUGAGACACGGCACAGACUCCUACGGGAGGCAGCAGUAGGGAAUCUUCGGCAAUGGACGGAAGUCUGACCGAGCAACGCCGCGUGAGUGAAGAAGGUUUUCGGAUCGUAAAGCUCUGUUGUAAGAGAAGAACGAGUGUGAGAGUGGAAAGUUCACACUGUGACGGUAUCUUACCAGAAAGGGACGGCUAACUACGUG